UGUCCCGUCAUUGGGGAGUAGCCUACCUUCACACUUCUGGAGGUGCUUGCGUCAACACACUUGGCCGUUCGGCCAUGGCGUAAGCGGUUCCUAAGCUUGGCAAGACCUUUGACCAUACUGCCUUCGGACUGGCCGGGGAGAAGUAUGGUCAUUGGAAUU
rnacentral:sRNA from 2 species